AGUACUGUGCAGCAGACCCCGAAAGUUGCAUACAUCAAAGUGGAUUCAAACUAGUUGCAGGGAAUCUGUCGAGACUACAAAGAGCUUUUGAACCGGAAUAAAACCGAAAGAAGCAAUCACAUCCCCUCAGAAGAUGAUGCCAUUUCAAGAGAAGGAAAGUGACAAGUUCCUUAAACGUUGUGCUGCUUUAGGCUUUGUCAUGUUGACCAUUUGGUUGGUUGUACUUUUGUGGUUUCUGGUUGCUCAUUUCACAUGCCCGUGUAGAAAUGAUCAGAAUGCAGUGGCAACACUGUUCCUCUUCCUUGGACCUGCUUUUUUUCUCUUCGUCAUAAUGUUCCACAUUCUAAGGCCUCUUAAAUACGGAUGGUUUCACUGCCCUGAACGAGUGGAAGAUGAUACGCCUCGGAGCUAUCCUAAAGCUCUCAUAUCUUGUCUGAUUCCACCUUUAAUGUGGAUCUUCUUCUUGUUACUUAAAGGUGAAUAUGUUGCUUGUGCCAUGACAGACUGGAAUGGAAUUUAUUCUCAUGAUGAUGAACUACAAACACGGUGGUGUAAACCAACCGAAGGGAUGCGAAAGGAGAUGGAGCUAAAAGAUUUAACUCGCAAGUAUAUUCAUCAAUCUGAGUAUGCAGGUUAUGUCUUGAUCACUUUCUUCAGUGUCUUGUCGCUUGCCAUUGUGGCUAUCUAUGACAGCUGCAUAAGUGGGAAAUGUGACUGGUGCCCAAGUGAACUGUUGUUGUUCUGCGGACGAAAAGUGAGACACGUUGAACGUCAUAGACAGGAUGAUGUAGAGCUCAGCCCCACCGCCUCCAUCACUACACACCCACUUCUUGCUUUUUCUAAAAAUGAAUAAACAGCUGAAUUUUGGAGGGAUAUACACAUUCACAUAAAAAUAUAGGUUCCAAAAAGGUGUUAUCACAGCAAUGCCUUAGGUUGUGUUCACACUUGGUAUGUUUGGUUUGAUUCAAGCGGUGCGAUUGAUCUGUUGUGCAGUCCAUUUGAAUAAGUGCGAACGCUGCCAUCUGAACCCUGUUGCGCACAAAACUAGAGAACCAAGAACCCUGAAAAUAUGGCACUCAAUCUGUUUCCAAACGUACUCUGGAGCGAUUUGCACACCAAAAACUUCUAAAAGAACCAAAAAAGACACAUAACGUCACAAAAUGUGAUAUGGAGUUAAUUUUGUGCCAUAAUUAAACACAAAUCCAGCAUUUUGCAAACAAACUCGAUCUGCUUUAAAAAAGGAAAACUAUGCAGCAAGGUGCAAGUACAAAGGUCAAAUAACAUAUAUGCAUUGUGUUUUACAAAUAUAAAUCAAUGAGCCUAAAUAAAGAUAAAAUUUCACAAAUAAAUACAAAUUGCAUGUAACCUUUGAAUAAAUACCAAAUCUAGUGCAUACAAAUGCAUAUGUGUUAUGAUUGUGAGAUUUGGCUUUUUAUGAGAUCUCUCAGCUCAAUUUUCUUACAAAUGUGUCCAGAUUAUCUCCCAAAUACAGUUUAUUUUGUUCUCAUUCAUUUAUGGAGAACGAAAAAAAAAGUAAAUUUUGAUUCCCCUAUAGCGAGAGUGAAGUCUAAGUGCUAAAGUGCAUUUUUCUGUCUAGAUAUGUAAUAAAAUUUUGCAAAAGAAAACUUCAAAAAAGUUGAUUAUGGAUAAAGUAAGACAGAAACACACCUGUUCAUCUGUCAUUUUCCACAGCUGUAGACUGAAUGAAUGAAUCCCCUAUCUUAGCGCCAUCUACUGUUUUAGAAGAGGAGAGAAAAUCGCCCUGGACACAUUUGUGAGAAAAUCGACCCGAGACAUCUCAUAAAAAGCCAAAUCUCACAAUCAUAACAUACAGGUAUGCUUUUGUAUACACUAGAUUUGGUAUUUGUUCAAGGUGGUUUGUAUUUUUUUGUGAAAUAUUGUCUAAGCUCAUUUAUUUAUAUUUGCAAAACAAUGCAUAUGUGUUACUCCACUGCAUUUUCGCUCAAAUUAACCUUUGUACUUGCACAUUGCUUUCAGUUUGUUAGCGAGUCGAGUUUUCCUUUGCAAAGUAGAUCGAGUUUGUUUGCAAAAUACUGGAUUUGUUUGUUCAAUUUUGGCACAAUAUUAACUCCAUAAAUAAAAGUCAGUUAGGUUGUGAACAUCGCCAUGCCUUAAGGUACGUGGAAAAAUGCCAAUGUAAACACUAAGAGGACCAGGACUAAUUUAUUUUAUUUUUCGAUCCACACCAAGCGAACCAAAAUACAAGUGUGAACACACCCAAUUAUUCUUUUAUUCUUAAUUUUUUUAAAUUCUUGUAUCCACUACCGCUUCAAUGUAUAUCCUUUGAGUGGUUGUUAGUCAAGUUAUUAAUCAAUAUUUAUCCUUAUCCUACGAGCAGAUUUCGUGACCCGUCUGAAGUGGAAAGGGGAUCUUAUUAUAAUAUCACCGCCCCUUAAUCUGCACGUUUCCACCUACGGCAACAUCAUUUGGUUUUCACAAACAAAAACAGUGUAACCAGUUCUAAUGCAAUGACAAAAGUUCAAGCAAAGCAUCCAAACUGUUCUGUUUGCUGCACAGACGAGCACAGAACACUGUUCGCCCAAAAAAUGUCAAAACCUCAGAGAGCUGUGUCAACUUGUGUAAAAUUUAAACAUGAGGGUACAUGCAAGUCAAUGAGUGAAUCAAUGUAACUCCACAAAAACUUCAUAAAUGUAUCCACUAGCCAUAGAGUCAAAUCCUUAUUGACAAUUGUGAAAAAAGCCCUGUGUUACCACAAGCACUUGUCUCUCCUGUCAAACUCAUAUAUAAAACAUAUAUGCAUGUGUGAAUAUGUUGUGUAAGACACAGGUUCACAAAUAAAGAAAGUAGACUGAU